rnacentral:rRNA from 1 species
UACAGAGGUCUCAAGCGUUGUUCGGAUUCAUUGGGCGUAAAGGGUGUGUAGGUGGCGCGCUAAGUCGGGUGUGAAAUUUCGGAGCUUAACUCCGAAACUGCAUUCGAUACUGCGGUGCUUGAGGACUGGAGAGGAGACUGGAAUUCAUGGUGUAGCAGUGAAAUGCGUAGAGAUCAUGAGGAAGACCAGUGGCGAAGGCGGGUCUCUGGACAGUUCCUGACACUGAGGCACGAAGGCCGGGGGGAGCAAACGGGG